CUGGGCGUAAGCGUGCGUAGGUGGUUGUUUAAGUCUGUUGUGAAAGCCCUGGGCUCAACCUGGGAAUUGCAGUGGAUACUGGGCGACUAGAGUGUGGUAGAGGGUAGUGGAAUUCCCGGUGUAGCAGUGAAAUGCGUAGAGAUCGGGAGGAACAUCCAUGGCGAAGGCAGCUACCUGGACCAACACUGACACUGAGGCUCGAAAGCGUGGGUAGCGAACAGGAUUAGAUACCCUGGUAGUCCACGCCGUAAACGAUGAGUGCUAAGUGUUGGAGGGUUUCCGCCCUUCAGUGCUGGAGUUAACGCAUUAAGCACUCCGCCUGGGGAGUACGGCCGCAAGGCUGAAACUCAAAGGAAUUGACGGGGACCCGCACAAGCGGUGGAGCAUGUGGUUUAAUUCGACGCAACGCGAAGAACCUUACCAGCUCUUGACAUCUUCUGUUCACUCUAGAGAUAGAGCUUCCCCUUCGGGGGCAGAAUGACAGGUGGUGCAUGGUUGUCGUCAGCUCGUGUCGUGAGAUGUUGGGUUAAGUCCCAUAACGAGCGCAACCCUUAUUGUUAGUUGCCAGCAUUCAGUUGGGCACUCUAGCGAGACUGCCGGUGAUAAACCGGAGGAAGGUGGGGAUGACGUCAAAUCAUCAUGCCCCUUAUGAGCUGGGCUACACACGUGCUACAAUGGACGGUACAACGGGUAGCGAGGGCGCGAGCCUUAGCAAAUCCUAAUAAGCCGUUCUCAGUUCGGAUUGUUCUCUGCAACUCGAGAGCAUGAAGC
rnacentral:rRNA from 1 species